rnacentral:rRNA from 1 species
UACGAAGGGGGCUAGCGUUGCUCGGAAUCACUGGGCGUAAAGCGCACGUAGGCGGCUCUCUAAGUCAGGGGUGAAAUCCUGGAGCUCAACUCCAGAACUGCCUUUGAUACUGGAGAGCUUGAGUCCGGGAGAGGUGAGUGGAACUCCGAGUGUAGAGGUGAAAUUCGUAGAUAUUCGGAAGAACGCCAGUGGCGAAGGCGGCUCACUGGCCCGGUACUGACGCUGAUGUGCGAAAGCGUGGGGAGCAAACAGG